UACCUUAAGCAAAAAUAUUUAAGGCAAGCCCUGCCCAGUGAAAUCUUCAACGGCCGCGGUAUCCUAACCGUGCAAAGGUAGCAUAAUAACUUGCCUAUUAAUUAUAGGAUAGAAUGAAAGGGUAAACGAAAUAGGAGCUGUCUCUAUUAGCCCAAUGAAAAUUAUUUUUUAACUGAAGAAAGUUAAAUUCAACUGAAGGACAAGAAGACCCUAUAGAGCUUAAUUUAAUAAAUAAGUAAAAAUUAAAUUCGGUUGGGGCGACCGAUGCUCUACAAAUCAUCACCCACAAAAAGAAAUAUACAUCUCAAAAAAGACCCUGACCCAGAUCAAAAAAACAAGCUACCUUAGGGAUAACAGGCUAAUCUCAUUAAUGAGUCCCCAUCUAUAAUGUUGGUUGGCACCUCGAUGUUGGCUUAGGGAAUCAAAAGGGCGCAGAAGCUUUUUAAGACGGUUUGUUCAACCAUUAAACCCCU
rnacentral:rRNA from 1 species